rnacentral:lncRNA from 1 species
AUAGACAUGAUACCUUUAUUUCAUUUGUUUUUAUGUGGUGCCAGGGAUUGAACCCAGUGCAUUAAUACAUGCUCUACCACUAAGCCACAACCCCAGCCCCCUUAGUACUGAUUUUUAAAUCAGAGACGAUUCCUGACCCUCACAACCCCAGAGAUGGAUGCUGUGGUCCUCAUUCUACUGGUGAAACAAUGAGCUCAGAGAGGAUAGAAGUGCACCGAGAUCAGGCAGCUGGUUAGUGGAGGAGUCAUAGCUCUCAGCCACCAGAGCUUACUGGUUGAACAGCUUUGGGGUACAGUCAACCAAGACCCCUUUGCUAUUUGCCCUGCUAGCUCCUACUACUCACAAUACUGGGCAAGUUGGAGCACUCAAUGCUCCCAGGUGUCAAAUGACAAAAUUACAGCAACUUAAAAAUCUCAAUUGACAUGAAGAGAGAGCCUACAGAAUGGAAGAAAAUCUUUGCCACCUGCACCUCAAAUAGAGCAUUAAUCUCCAGGAUAUAUAAAGAACUAAAAAAAAAACUUAACACCAAAAAAGAAAAACCCAAAUAAUCCAAUCAAUAAAUGGACAAAGGAACUAAACAGACACUUCCUGGAAGAAGAAAUACGGCCGGUCAACAAAUAUAUGAAAAAAUAUUCAACAUCUCUAGCAAUUAAAGAAAUGCAAAUCAAAACUACACUGAGAUUUCAUCUCACUCCAGUCAGAGUGGCAAUUAUCAAGAAUACAAGUAACAAUGUUGGCAAGGAUGUGGGGGAAAAGUUAUGCUCAUACAUUGCUGGUAGGACUGCAUAUUGGUGCAACCACUCUGGAAAGCACCGUGGAUAUUCCUCAGAAAACUUGGAUUGGAACCAACAUUUAACCCAGUUAUCCCACUCCUCAGCAUAUAUCCAAAUUUAAAAUUAGUGUCUAUAGUGACACAGCCACAUUAAUGUUUAUAGCAGCUCAGCAUUCAAAAUAGCUGAACUAUGGAACCAACCUAGGUGCCCUUCAGCAGAUGAAUGGAUAAAGAAAAUGUUGUACCUAUACACAUGGAAUAUUACUCAGCCAUAAAGAAGAAUGAAAUGAUGGCAUUUGCAAGUAAAUGGAUAGAACUGGAGACUCAUGCUAUGUAAAAUAAGCCACUCCCCCAAAAAAUGAAGUUUGGAUGUUCUCUUGUGAUAUGUGGGUGCUGACUCACAAUAGGUAGGGGGGCAGUUUUUACCGAUUGGAC